rnacentral:rRNA from 1 species
ACAUGCAUUAAAGCUCUGACUCUCGGGGAAGAGCGCAUUUAUUAGGACAAAACCAAGCGCCUUCGGGUGUUUCUGGUUGACUCAUAGUAACUUAGCUGAUCGCAUGGUCUUGUACCGGCGACGUGUCUUUCAAGUAUCUGCCGUAUCAACUUUCGAUGGUAGUGUAUCUGACUACCAUGGUGAUCACGCGUAACGGAGAAUAAGGGUUCGACUCCGGAGAGUUCGCCUGAGAAAUCGCGAACACAUCUAAGGAAGGCAGCAGGCGCGAAAAUUACCCACUCUCAGCACGAGGAGGUAGUGACGAAAAAUAACGAGACCGUUCUCUCAGAGGCCGGUCAUCGGAAUGGGUACAAUUUAAACCCUUUAACGAGUAUCUAUGAGAGGGCAAGUCUGGUGCCAGCAGCCGCGGUAAUUCCAGCUCUCAAAGUGCAUAGAAUUAUUGCUGCGGUUAAAAAGCUCGUAGUUGGAUCUGUGCCAUGGGGCUGGGACCAUCUUCGGAUGUGCUCUCAGUACCCUGGCUUUUUGCUGGUUUUCCCGUCGUGACUUUCAUCGGUUGCGGCGGGUGGCUGGCGAGUUUACUUUGAGAAAAUCAGAGUGCUCAACACAGGCGUAUCGCUUGAAUGAUUGUGCAUGGAAUAAUAGAAAAGGAUUUCG